GAUGAACGCUGGCGGCGUGCCUAAUACAUGCAAGUCGAGCGAACGGAUGAGAAGCUUGCUUCUCUGAUGUUAGCGGCGGACGGGUGAGUAACACGUGGAUAACCUACCUAUAAGACUGGGAUAACUUCGGGAAACCGGAGCUAAUACCGGAUAAUAUUUUGAACCGCAUGGUUCAAAAGUGAAAGACGGUCUUGCUGUCACUUAUAGAUGGAUCCGCGCUGCAUUAGCUAGUUGGUAAGGUAACGGCUUACCAAGGCAACGAUGCAUAGCCGACCUGAGAGGGUGAUCGGCCACACUGGAACUGAGACACGGUCCAGACUCCUACGGGAGGCAGCAGUAGGGAAUCUUCCGCAAUGGGCGAAAGCCUGACGGAGCAACGCCGCGUGAGUGAUGAAGGUCUUCGGAUCGUAAAACUCUGUUAUUAGGGAAGAACAUGUGUGUAAGUAACUGUGCACAUCUUGACGGUACCUAAUCAGAAAGCCACGGCUAACUACGUGCCAGCAGCCGCGGUAAUACGUAGGUGGCAAGCGUUAUCCGGAAUUAUUGGGCGUAAAGCGCGCGUAGGCGGUUUUUUAAGUCUGAUGUGAAAGCCCACGGCUCAACCGUGGAGGGUCAUUGGAAACUGGAAAACUUGAGUGCAGAAGAGGAAAGUGGAAUUCCAUGUGUAGCGGUGAAAUGCGCAGAGAUAUGGAGGAACACCAGUGGCGAAGGCGACUUUCUGGUCUGUAACUGACGCUGAUGUGCGAAAGCGUGGGGAUCAAACAGG
rnacentral:rRNA from 1 species